rnacentral:rRNA from 1 species
UCCUACGGGAGGCAGCAGUGGGGGAUAUUGCACAAUGGGGGCAACCCUGAUGCAGCGACGCCGCGUGAGCGAUGGAGUACUUCGGUAUGUAAAGCUCUGUCAGCAGGGAAGAGAAUGACGGUACCUGACCAAGAAGCCCCGGCUAAAUACGUGCCAGCAGCCGCGGUAAUACGUAUGGAGCAAGCGUUAUCCGGAAUUACUGGGUGUAAAGGGAGCGUAGGCGGCAAGGCAAGUCUGAUGUGAAAACCCAGGGCCCAACCCUGGGACUGCAUUGGAAACUGUAUUGCUUGAGUACCGGAGAGGCA